rnacentral:rRNA from 1 species
GAAAUGCGAUACUUGGUGUGAAUUGCAGAAUCCCGUGAA